rnacentral:rRNA from 1 species
UUUACCUACGGGACGCAGCAGUGGGGAAUAUUGCACAAUGGGGGAAACCCUGAUGCGGCAACGCCGCGUGAGUGAAGAAGGUUUUCGGAUUGUAAACCUCUGUCUUCGGUGACGAAACGAGACGGUAGCCGAGGAGGAAGCCACGGCUAACUACGUGCCAGCAGCCGCGGUAAUACGUAGGUGGCAAGCGUUGUCCGGAAUUACUGGGUGUAAAGGGAGCGUAGGCGGGAAAGCAAGUUGAAUGUUUAAGGUACGGGCUCAACCUGUACAAGCGUUCAAAACUGUUUUUCUUGAGUGGAGUAGAG